AAACGCAGGCUCCCUCGCGGGAGCCAGUGCAAACGAAACAGUUUUGGCACUAUAAGAGUUCAGCAGGGCUGUUCCGUAUGCUGUGGUUAAAAAGCACGAUUGAUAUUGGUAACACAUGAACCCCAUUCUCAUAAAUCGUUUACAAAAAAAACUGGGCUAUACUUUC
rnacentral:sRNA from 1 species